AUUGAACGCUGGCGGAAUGCUUUACACAUGCAAGUCGAACGGCAGCACGGACUUCGGUCUGGUGGCGAGUGGCGAACGGGUGAGUAAUAUAUCGGAACGUGCCCAGUCCUGGGGGAUAACGUAGUGAAAAUUACGCUAAUACCGCAUACGAUCUAUGGAUGAAAGCGGGGGAUCGCAAGACCUCGCGCGAUUGGAGCGGCCGAUAUCAGAUUAGGUAGUUGGUGAGGCAAUGGCUCACCAAGCCGACGAUCUGUAGCUGGUCUGAGAGGACGACCAGCCACACUGGAACUGAGACACGGUCCAGACUCCUACGGGAGGCAGCAGUGGGGAAUUUUGGACAAUGGACGCAAGUCCGAUCCAGCCAUUCCGCGUGCAGGACGAAGGCCUUCGGGUUGUAAACUGCUUUUGUACAGAACGAAAAGGUCUCUAUUAAUACUAGGGGCUCAUGACGGUACUGUAAGAAUAAGCACCGGCUAACUACGUGCCAGCCGCCGCAGUAA
rnacentral:rRNA from 1 species